rnacentral:rRNA from 1 species
AUUGAACGCUGGCGGAAUGCUUUACACAUGCAAGUCGAACGGCAGCACGGACUUCGGUCUGGUGGCGAGUAGCGAACGGGUGAGUAAUACAUCGGAACGUGCCCAGUCGUGGGGGAUAACGUAGCGAAAGCUACGCUAAUACCGCAUACGAUCUAAGGAUGAAAGCGGGGGAUCGCAAGACCUCGCGCGAUUGGAGCGGCCGAUGGCAGAUUAGGUAGUUGGUGGGGUAAAGGCUCACCAAGCCGACGCUCUGUAGCUGGUCUGAGAGGACGACCAGCCACACUGGGACUGAGACACGGCCCAGACUCCUACGGGAGGCAGCAGUGGGGAAUUUUGGACAAUGGGCGCAAGCCUGAUCCAGCCAUUCCGCGUGCAGGAUGAAGGCCCUCGGGUUGUAAACUGCUUUUGUACGGAACGAAAAGGCUCUGGUUAAUACCUGGGGCUCAUGACGGUACCGUAAGAAUAAGCACCGGCUAACUACGUGCCAGCCGCCGCAGUAA